UACGGGGGGGGUAAGCGUUGUUCGGAAUUACUGGGCGUAAAGGGUUCGUAGGUGGCCAACUCAGUCAGACGUGAAAUCCCUCAGCUCAACUGGGGAACUGCGUCUGAUACUAGAUGGCUCGAGUGCAGGAGAGGAACGCGGAAUUCCAGGUGUAGCGGUGAAAUGCGUAGAUAUCUGGAGGAACACCGGUGGCGAAGGCGGCGUUCUGGACUGCAACUGACACUGAGGAACGAAAGCCAGGGGAGCAAACGGG
rnacentral:rRNA from 1 species